rnacentral:rRNA from 1 species
GUUGAACGCUGGCGGCAUGCCUUACACAUGCAAGUCGAACGGCAGCACGGGGCAACCUGGUGGCGAGUGGCGAACGGGUGAGUAAUGCAUCGGAACGUACCUUUCAGUGGGGGAUAACGUAGCGAAAGUUACGCUAAUACCGCAUAUUCUGUGAGCAGGAAAGCAGGGGAUCGCAAGACCUUGCGCUGAUUGAGCGGCCGAUGUCAGAUUAGCUAGUUGGUGAGGUAAAGGCUCACCAAGGCGACGAUCUGUAGCGGGUCUGAGGGGAUGAUCCGCGACACUGGAACUGAGACACGGUCCAGACUCCUACGGGAGGCAGCAGUGGGGAAUUUUGGACAAUGGGGGCAACCCUGAUCCAGCCAUGCCGCGUGAGUGAAGAAGGCCUUCGGGUUGUAAAGCUCUUUCGGCCGGGAAGAAAUCGCACGGGCUAAUACCCUGUGUGGAUGACGGUACCGGAAUAAGAAGCACCGGCUAACUACGUGCCAGCAGCCGCCGUAA